GGCUCGUAGCUCAGUUGUCUAGGGCAUUGGCUGUAUUCAUGGCUCACAUGCGUGGGUUUGAAUCCCACCGAAGCCG
rnacentral:tRNA from 1 species